GGGAGGCCUACACAUGCAAGCCGAGCGGUAGAGAUUCUUCGGAAUCUUGAGAGCGGCGUACGGGUGCGGAACACGUGUGCAACCUGCCUUUAUCUGGGGGAUAGCCUUUCGAAAGGAAGAUUAAUACCCCAUAAUAUAUCGACUGGCAUCAGUUGAUAUUGAAAACUCCGGUGGAUAGAGAUGGGCACGCGCAAGAUUAGAUAGUUGGUGAGGUAACGGCUCACCAAGUCUACGAUCUUUAGGGGGCCUGAGAGGGUGAUCCCCCACACUGGUACUGAGACACGGACCAGACUCCUACGGGAGGCAGCAGUGAGGAAUAUUGGACAAUGGGUGAGAGCCUGAUCCAGCCAUCCCGCGUGAAGGACGACGGCCCUAUGGGUUGUAAACUUCUUUUGUAUAGGGAUAAACCUACUCUCGUGAGAGUAGCUGAAGGUACUAUACGAAUAAGCACCGGCUAACUCCGUGCCAGCAGCCGCGGUUAAUACGGAGGGUGCAAGCGUUAUCCGGAUUUAUUGGGUUUAAAGGGUCCGUAGGCGGAUCUGUAAGUCAGUGGUGAAAUCUCACAGCUUAACUGUGAAACUGCCAUUGAUACUGCAGGUCUUGAGUGUUGUUGAA
rnacentral:rRNA from 1 species